rnacentral:lncRNA from 1 species
AGUGCCAAUGAAAACGCAACACUUUUGUUUUUCAAAAAAGUCUGAUAAUUUUUAUUUAUUUUAUAUUAGAACUUUGUAAAGUUGGUUGAAAAUGACUUUAAAGACAAUUGUCGACAACUUUAGGGUUGGGUGAUUUUUGGAACAAAUGCGAAGUAAGGGUUAUUUUGAACGGACAUAAACCGAGUUCACCGCUUUUCAACAUACGCACCAUUUUCACGAUUUUGUCAUUUAAAGCUUGGCUAAUGUCAUGAAUUUUCCCGCCCUUAUUGUAAGGAAACUGCAAUAAACAUCUGAGUAAAUGCCAGGACUUUCUGACAACCAGCGACAUGCAGUUUCGGGCAUGAUCCAAUGAAGCCUUUCACAGCAUACAAUAACCCAAAUCAUCCACAAAUUCAACAAAAAUGGAUCAGUUAAUGAUAAGCCACAUCCCGGGGUUCAAAAAGCAAGAAACGCUCAGCAAAACCGAUACAUUUGGUCUUUAACAUAUCCGAUAUCGACUCUGAUGGAUGUCCAAAGGUCACGUGAGUUCAAUGGUGGUCACGGUAGAUCCUAUGGAGCAAUUUCAGUAAAGCACCAUUUGCGCAGAAAUUCAACGGUUAAAGAGGACCACAGCCGACAUCUAAACGGC